ensembl:lncRNA SLC9A3-OT1 SLC9A3 3' UTR overlapping transcript 1
CAGCGCCCGCAAGCGGCCUGGGCCGAGCGCCGUUUCCAGGCCCUCGCCAGGUCUUUGAACUGCAGGUUCCGUCCUGCCCGCGCCCGGUCUCAGGGUGGCGGCCCCGGACACGGCCCGUCCCCACAGACGAGGUCUCCGGCCUGAGCUGUCGCACCUGGCGCGGAGGUCGCCCGGGGUGCCCUGGCUGGGUGAGAGGUGGCCUGGCGGGCGGAGCUUGCCAAGAAUCACGGCCAGUCCUUAAGUGGAUGGUGGGGCCCAGCAGCUGCUCUGUCCCCCUUAACAAACCAGGGGGCAUGGAGGGGCCCAGGGCACCGCCCCCCUACCAGGCUCAGGCCCUCCAAGGAGAACCUGCUGAGACCCCUGAGCCUGUCCUAGACCCCGGACCCCUGACCCUUCCCACCCCUUCCAGCGUCCCAGGGCGAGGCCUUGGACAGAGCUCCUGGUCCUCUGCAGGGAGACCAUCCAGCCCAAGCUCUGGGAGGCACAGUCCAUUGAGUGGGCGGAGGCCGCGGGUGCUGAGCCGGGGAGGGUGCUCGGAGUCCAUCCAUCCCU